AUUGAACGCUGGCGGCAUGCUUUACACAUGCAAGUCGAACGGUAACAGGCCUUCGGGUGCUGACGAGUGGCGAACGGGUGAGUAAUGCAUCGGAACGUGCCCAGAGGUGGGGGAUAACGCAGCGAAAGCUGUGCUAAUACCGCAUGUGAUCUGAGGAUGAAAGCGGGGGACCAGGCAGCAAUGUUUGGCCUCGCGCCUUUGGAGCGGCCGAUGUCAGAUUAGGUAGUUGGUGGGGUAAAGGCCUACCAAGCCGACGAUCUGUAGCUGGUCUGAGAGGACGACCAGCCACACUGGGACUGAGACACGGCCCAGACUCCUACGGGAGGCAGCAGUGGGGAAUUUUGGACAAUGGGCGCAAGCCUGAUCCAGCAAUGCCGCGUGCGGGAAGAAGGCCUUCGGGUUGUAAACCGCUUUUGUACGGAACGAAAAGGCUCUGGCUAAUACCUGGGGCCGAUGACGGUACCGUAAGAAUAAGCACCGGCUAACUACGUG
rnacentral:rRNA from 1 species